rnacentral:rRNA from 1 species
UACGGAGGGUGCAAGCGUUAUCCGGAUUUAUUGGGUUUAAAGGGUGCGUAGGCGGUUUUGUAAGUCAGCGGUGAAAGCUCCCAGCCUAACUGGGAAACUGCCAUUGAUACUGCAAAGCUUGAGUAUAGUUGAGGUAGGCGGAAUUGAUGGUGUAGCGGUGAAAUGCAUAGAUAUCAUCAAGAACUCCAAUAGCGAAGGCAGCUUACUAAACUAUAACUGACGCUGAGGCACGAAAGUGUGGGGAUCAAACAGG